GCCCUGGUAGCUCAGUUGGAUGAGAGCGUCUCCCUCCUAAGGAGAAGGCCAGAGGUUCAAUUCCUCUCCAGGGCACCA
rnacentral:tRNA from 2 species